UCGACUGGCCUGAGUCUCCUGGUCCUGGGUCUCCUGGUCCUGGGUCUCCUGGUCCUGGGUCUCGUGUUGUAUCUUAAAAGAAAGGAGAAGCUGAAAGCUGGUGAACAGAACAAGACGGGAAGGAAAGAACCUGACGAACCCACAGUUGAUCUGGAGCUGUUGAAGAAGACUGAUGAUGUACAGGAGAUGAUGUAAGACACAGUGGAUGAUGACGGCAAUGACAACAGUGGAGCUG